AUUGAACGCUGGCGGCAUGCUUUACACAUGCAAGUCGAACGGUAACAGGGAGCUUGCUCCGCUGACGAGUGGCGAACGGGUGAGUAAUGCGUCGGAACGUGCCGAGUAGUGGGGGAUAACGCAGCGAAAGUUGUGCUAAUACCGCAUACGUACUGAGGUAGAAAGUGGGGGACCUUCGGGCCUCACGCUAUUCGAGCGGCCGAUGUCAGAUUAGGUAGUUGGUGGGGUAAAGGCUCACCAAGCCAACGAUCUGUAGCUGGUCUGAGAGGACGACCAGCCACACUGGGACUGAGACACGGCCCAGACUCCUACGGGAGGCAGCAGUGGGGAAUUUUGGACAAUGGGCGCAAGCCUGAUCCAGCAAUGCCGCGUGAAGGAAGAAGGCCUUCGGGUUGUAAACUGCUUUUGUACGGAACGAAACGGCUCUCUCUAAUACAGGGGGUUAAUGACAGUACCGUAAGAAUAAGCACCGGCUAACUACGUGCCAGCAGCCGCCGUAAUAC
rnacentral:rRNA from 1 species